rnacentral:rRNA from 1 species
UGCAGAAUCCCGUGAACCAUCGAGUCUUUGAACGCAAGUUGCGCCCGAUGCCAUUAGGUUGAGGGCACGUCUGCCUGGGUGUCACAUAUCGAAGCCUCAUGCCAAUUUCCUUUUGACAGGUAUUGUGCGGGGUGAAUGUUGGCCUCCCGUGAGCUCUUUCGUCUCAUGGUUGGUUGAAAAUUGAGACCUUGGUAGGGUGUGCCAUGAUAGAUGGUGGUUGUGUGACCCACGAGACCAAUCAUGCGCUACUCUAUUGAGUUUGGCCUCUUUUACCCAUAUGCGUUUCUAAACGCUCGUGAUGAGACCUCAGGUCAGGCGGGGCUACCCGCUGAAUUUAAGCAUAUCAAUAAGCGGAGGAAAAGAAACUAACAAGGAUUCCCUUAGUAACGGCGAGCGAACCGGGAUAAGCCCACCAUGAGAAUCGGUCGCCCUCGGCGUUCGA